rnacentral:lncRNA from 1 species
CGCGACCAGACUCGCCGAGUCACCUAUGCGACUCGCCGAGUCGUCGCCAUGCACUCCUUAAAUAUACCGAUUUGCUCGGUUCCAGACCAUGCCAUUCAUAGAUCUGGACUUCUAGGACACGAAUCACACGUAAAGUUUCCAACUUUACGUGUGGAUAUUCACCAAUAUGGAUUAUAAGGCUCAAAAUGUCUCAAAAUGGUAGAUCUAGGGCUAACAAGCCUCAUGAGGCCAAAAAGCUAACAGAUCUGAGCUCCUGGAGCUCAAUCUUACAUAGAUCCAAAGGCCAAACGCCUUAUUACAACAUAUAAUGAACAUGCAAACUUGGGGAAUUGACCAAGAAGGACCCAAAUGAAGUUUUAAGCAUAGAAUCAAGGGGAAAACGGGUUAUACCUCAAAGGAAAUGUUGAAAUGACACAAGGAUGGCUGAUCUCCUUCUCCUCUUCUUGAUCUACUCCUCUUACUCUUCAAAACCUUCAAGAACACACCAAGAACACCUCAAACUCUCAAGAAAACAAGGGAAAACGAUGUAGGGGGAGUUCUGGGGGUGAAUGGGGACGAGUUGGGGCGGAAUGAGAGUUUAAAUAGGGUGCAAACCCUUGAAACUUAGGGUUUCAUCCCGCAGCGGUGACUCGCCGAGUCCAGGAUAUGGACUCGUCGAGUCGCCUACUUAAAACGCGUCCUGAGUCUCGUCCCUACUCGGCGAGUCGGACCCUAUGACUCGCCGAGUCUAAGGCUAAAUUAGGGCAAUGCUCAAAUAAAAUUCACAUACCGGAAACCAGGUGCUACACAUCUCCCCCACUUAUUUUAGACUUCGUCCUCGAAGUCUGCUGCCUGAUCCUGAAACAGCUCGGGGUAGUGCUCCAUCAUCUCGUCUACCGGCUCCCAAGUCCACUCUGAACCCUUGCGGUGCUGCCAUUGCACCUUCACUAGCUCCACCCUCUUGUUCCUUAAAUCCUUCGACUUCCUGUCGAGGAUUGCGACUGGGCGCUCGAUGUAGUUCAGGCUGUCAUCAACCUGAAUAUCCUCCAAAGGUACUACUGCAGAAUCGUCCACUAGGCACUUCCGCAACUGCGAAACAUGGAAAGUGCUGUGGAUCUGGCUAAGCUCGGCUGGCAGAUCCAGCCUAUAUGCUACCUUGCCCACCCGGGCUAAGACCCUGAACGGUCCGAUGAAUCGCGGGCCCAACUUGCCCCGCUUCCUGAAUCGGAUGACGCCUUUCCACGGCGACACCUUCAGGAGGACCAUAUCCCCGACCUGGAACUCUAAAUCGGAUCGACGCUUGUCGGCAUAACUUUUCUGUCGACUCUGAGCAGUCUGAAGCCUGCUCCGGACCUGCUGUAUCCUCUCAGUCGUCUUGAGCACCACUUCGGUGCUUCCCAUAACUCUCUGGCCAACCUCACCCCAGCAUAUCGGGGUCCUACACCUCCGUCCGUACAACAUCUCGAAGGGAGGGCGGUCGAUACUCGCGUGAUAGCUGUUGUUGUAGGAGAACUCAGCCAAAGGAAGAUAGGUAUCCCAGCUACCACCGAAAUCCAGAACACACGCCCGCAACAUGUCCUCCAAAGUCUGGAUGGUCCGCUCACUCUGUCCAUCUGUCUGCGGGUGAAAGGCGGUGCUGAAAUGCAGACGAGUGCCCAACUCGUCAUGGAAUCUCUUCCAAAACCUGGAAGUAAAACGCACAUCCCUGUCCGAGAUCACCGAUACUGGCACCCCAUGCCGUGCCACAAUCUCCCUGAUAUAGAUGUCGGCCAAUUUCUCGGCCGAUAUGCUCUCCGGAAUCGGAAUAAAGUGAGCACUCUUGGUCAAUCUAUCCACGAUGACCCAAAUCGAAUCCACUCCACGCGCGGUCCUGGGAAGCUUCGUGAUAAAAUCCAUCGUGAUAUCUUCCCACUUCCACAGUGGAAUGUCCAACGGCUGCAUCUUGCCAUGCGGCCUCUGAUGUUCGGCCUUGACCUUCCUGCAGGUCAAGCACCGCUCGACGUACCAUGCCACAUCCCGCUUCAUGCAGGGCCACCAAUAGUCUAGACGAAGAUCCCUAUACAUCUUCGUCGCCCCGGGAUGAAUAGAGAAUCGGGACUUGUGCGCCUCCUCCAUCAAAAUCUGGCGCACGCCCCCGUGAUACGGCACCCACACCCUAUGGUGUAGUGUCAAUAACCCUCGGCUAUCAUAAUCGAAGGAGGAAACCUGACCUACUACGCGCUCGUUCUUCCGAUGCUCCUCCUUGAUAGCCUCCUGUUGAGCUUCCCGAAUCUGCUCCAACAGGGGAGUCACCACAGUCAUCCUCAAACAGGCGUCCCUGAUCGGCGCCGUCUUGCGGCUAAGCGCAUCGGCCACCACAUUGGCCUUUCCCGGGUGGUAAAGGAUCUCGCAAUCAUAAUCCUUCACCACAUCCAACCACCGACGCUGCCUCAUGUUCAGAUUCGGCUGGUCCAUGAGGUACCUCAAGCUCUUGUGGUCCGUGUAGAUGGUACACCGAACCCCAUAGAGGUAAUGUCGCCAAAUCUUGAGGGCAAAUACCACCGCCCCCAACUCCAAAUCGUGCGUCGGGUAGUUCGCCUCGUGAGGCUUGAGCUGCCUCGAAGCGUAAGCAAUGACAUGCCCCCUUUGCAUCAGCACCGCGCCCAACCCAGAAAUGGACGCAUCGCAAUAAACCACGAAAUCCUCUACGCCCUCUGGCAGGGCUAAGAUCGGCGCCUCACACAAUCUCUGUCUCAGCGUCUCAAAUGCAGCCUGCUGCUCGGGUCCCCACCGAAAGACCACGGCUUUCUUCGUCAGCCGCGUCAGGGGCACGGCUAUCUUGGAGAAAUCCUGGAUAAAUCUCCGAUAGUAGCCUGCCAAUCCUAGGAAGCUCCGAAUCUCAGAUGGGGACUUCGGAACCUCCCAUCUCAUCACGGCCUCGACCUUGGCCGGAUCGACCAGAAUCCCGUUCUGGUUGACGAGGUGCCCCAGAAAUUGCACCUCGCGCAACCAAAACUCACACUUGGAGAACUUGGCAUACAAGCUCUCCCUCCUCAGGGUCUCUAACACCUCUCUCAAAUGCUCCUCAUGUUCCUCCCGGGUCUUGGAAUAAACCAAGAUAUCAUCGAUAAAGACUAUCACAGACCGGUCCAGCAUCGGUCUGCAUACACGGUUCAUGAGGUCCAUGAACGCGGCAGGAGCAUUGGUGAGCCCAAACGGCAUCACCACAAACUCGUAAUGGCCAUAGCGCGUCCGAAACGCGGUCUUCUGCAUAUCCUCCUCCCUGACCCUCAUCUGAUGAUAACCCGAACGCAAAUCAAUCUUGGAGAACCAAGAUGCGCCCUGAAGCUGGUCAAAGAGGUCAUCAAUCCUCGGAAGCGGGUAACGGUUCUUCACCGUUACCUUGUUCAGCUCCCGAUAAUCUAUACACAUCCGAUGCGACCCAUCCUUCUUCUUCACAAACAGAAUCGGGGCUCCCCAGGGCGAACUGCUCGGCCGAAUAAAUCCCUUGUCCAGCAGCUCCUGCAGCUGCGUAGACAACUCCUGCAUCUCGGGAGGAGCCAACCGAUACGGUGCUUUGGCUAUCGGAGCCGCACCGGGAACGAGGUCAAUCCUGAACUCCACCUGUCGCUCCGGAGGUAUCCCAGGUAGUUCCUCCGGAAAAACAUCAGCAAAAUCUCGAACCACCGGGACCUCGCUCACGGUCGCCUUACCCGCCUCCCGGGUGUCCAUCACGUACGCGACAUAACCCGCGCAUCCCUGCUGAAGGUAGCGCCUAGCCCUCGCUGCUGAACAUACAGUGGGUCCACACUGCGGCCGCUCUCCAUGAAUCACUAACUCUCCCCCGCUUGGGGUCUUGACUCGCACUAGCUGCUGUGCGCAAUCUAUCACUGCCCCAUUAGGGCUCAACCAAUCCAUACCAAUAAUCACCUUGUUCCCACGCAAUGGAAUGGGAACCAAGUCUACCAGGUAACACUCCUCAAACAGUCGCAGGACACAAUCUCGAAACACCAUCGAUGCUCGCACCGAUCGAUCAUCGGCAAUCUCUACCUCUAACGGGCAAUCUAACUCGCCUGAAGUCUCAUGAAAUCUCUUGCUAAGAGCAAGAGAAACGAACGAUCGGGAUGCACCCGAGUCGAACAAUACCUGAACCGGGAUGCCGUUCACAUGGAACGAUCCUAAUACACAUGUAUACACACGGAGCACAUAUCAAUAUCAUAACAACGUAAAAUAAAAGAUAGAAGGAAGGAAUCAUACCCGUCACCACAUCGGGCGCGGCGCGUGCCUCCUCGGCAGUCAACUGAAAUGCCCGACUCCUCACCACUGGAGCCUCUGCCUUGCCCUGACGGCCAUCCGUGAUCCGCAGGGUCGCUGGAGCUGGCGCCUUCACUGGCGCUGAAGCUGUCAACAUGGGGCAAUUGGCCUUCUUGUGGCCCCUCUGGUUGCAGUGGAAACACAGCAACUCCGAUGUCUGAAUAACGGUCGCAGGAGCAGUGCAAUCCCUGCUGAUAUGCCCAAACUUGCCGCACUUGUAGCAGCCUGACGAUCCCAUCCUGCACGCCCCCUCGUGCGGCCUGCCGCACCUCCUGCAGCGGCUCGGUCCCGACUGGCCUUUCGGCCUCCCAUCUGAUCCCUUGGGCUUCUUCCCCGAAGCCCCCGAUGACUGACCAUCCUCAAGUUUCCGUUUCCGGAUGUGCUCCAAAUCUAUCUCUCUCUCCCUAGCCCUGGCAAUCAUGGAGUCCAGGGUAGGGCAAGCCGAAAAGCUAACAUGCUCCCGAAUGUCAGCUCGUAGCAUGUCGUGGUAACGAGUCCUCCUCAUAUCCUCGUCACCUGCAUACUGGGGCACCAAUAAAGCCCUCUCCCGAAACUUGGCGGUGAUCUCCGCCACGGUCUCUGUCGUCUGCCUCAUGUCUAAGAACUCCCUGGCCAGCUGCUGAAGCUCGACCGCUGGCGCAAACUCUGCCCUGAACCUAGUCACAAAGUCCGACCAGGUCAUUGCCUCGACAGCCGAGGCUCCCAUCGAGUCACCCACUGACUCCCACCAAUCUCGGGCCCGGUCCCGUAAACACCCUGCUGCGUACCUCACCUUCGACCCCUCGGGGCAGAAGCUGAUCAACUGGGCGGACUCGAUAUCCGCAAUCCACCGCCUGGCGACAAUGGGGUCCUUCACCCCAUGGAAAUCCGGCGCACCACUGCUCCUGAAGUCCUUGAAGGACAGUGUGCGAGAUCCUGACUGGCUAGAGGCCAAGUCGCUCCUGAAUGCCCGUAGGCGAUCCUCCAUCAUCUCCACGAUCCCUUCCUUGAUCGACCCAAAGAUGAUGGGGGUCGACUCAAGGAUGCCCCUAGUGAUCUCCGACGUGAUGAACUCACGUAGCCUCUCCUCAAUCGGCUCGGUGCCAGAUCCCGAACCUGACCCCUCUCCUGACCCGCCAUCUGUCGGUCUCGGUCGAAGUACCACCAUUCUGCAAAACAUCAAUAAUAAUCAUUAGUGGUACUGCUACUUUCUGAGGGAUCUCAACUACUUACAGGUUCCUUGGUCUCGUCUUGGCCUUCCUCGGCUCGGGUACGGAUCCUCUGCUUUCAGUAGUACGGGCCCAUACUACCUUCCACAUCUAUCCGUACCUUCUCCGAGGAAUUCCUCGACUCCACCAACUCCCCUCUACUACUGCUACUCUCCGAUAUUCUCACCCUAGGCUUGCCCUAGGGAGAACUCAAGUUCAACACAACUGGUCCUCAGCUGCUGUAGGUCUCCUCAUAAUGCCAGUUAGCCACCACCUAAACACCAUCACAUGUAAUGAGGAUUAGAUAAUCCUUCAAGUAAAAGAUCCGUCCCUACAACGGUUGGACUCAAACAAGAGCUGCGCAAUAGGGCCAGUUCCAACACUUUGGGAUUAUUCAACCCUGAUUACAUGUGGUGUGACGUGUUUACCUAGUGGCUCACUCCCAUUACUCAGAAUCCCACCGAGCACGAAGCAAGCAGCAUUCGGAUAAGGAAAAACAGACUCAAGCCAAAACUGUUCUUAGAACAAGAAACGACACUUAACAUAGGAUGCUAAGCUCAUACUAUCAGGCAUAACCUAAACAGGCUACCCUACUGCUGUCUACUCAAUUCUAGCAUGCAAUAUUCAAUAAGCUGGAACAAAUAAACAGGCACAUAAGGCAUCACUCCUAGAUCCUUAGCCUAUUCUAGCAUGCAAUAUUCAUAAAGCUGAUAAACAUAACAUAAACUUGUAUGGGUACUAUGGGGAAUACUUACUUGAGCUCGGCCGGUCGCGCACGUCACACACUUUACUCUUUCUCGUGACUCUUUUCCGGGUUUUAAAGAAUAAUUUCUUUUGGAAAAAUCUUUCAAUCCCUCGGUUUGAGUCCAAACACUCCCGAAGGCGUGUCCGAAUCCCUCAAACCAGGGCUCUGAUACCAACUUGUAACGACCCAAAUUUUAUUUUUUUUUUUUUUUGAUAUUACUUUAGAAAACAUUAAUAAAUAAAAACAUUGUCUAAAUAAAAAGAAACAUUGUUUGUUCACACCAUAACACAUUGCAACCAUGUUCUCAAAAGCCAAACCGUACAUCCCAUCAAAUAUCAGAGUACAAUCCCAGUAAAUCUCAUAAAUGCGGAAACCGAAGAGUGUGUGUAUGACGUGCCGCUACCGCGCCGGCUCCUUCCCCUUCGAUGCAGAGGUACCUGAAAACAAAACUGUAAACGUAAGCACAAAGCUUAGUGAGUUCCCCCAACGUACCGCAUACCAUACAAACACAUAACAUAUAUACUGCCAGGCUAUUCUGGGGUGCCUGACUACCCGGUACGGCCAUUCUGGGGUGCCGACCUACCCAUACGGCCAUUCUGGGGUGCCGUCUUACCCGUGUCAAGCCAUUCUGGGGUGCUGACUACCCAUCGGUCCUAACAACCGAUCCUCGGGGACUAUUUCACCCCUACUACUACGAUCACAUAUAACAUAACAAGCCAGCAUGCAUACAUAUCGUCACAUACUGUCAGACGUAUCUGGGGUGUCUGACUACCCUUCGGUCCGAACAACCAAACUCUACUACUAUCACAUACAGCAUAUCAUGCUAGCAUAUAACAUGUCAGGUACUAGCGAACUUAGAUGAUAUCACAAAGACAAUCAUCUAUCAUACAACUCCUACUGGUGGGUCGGCAUUGUGGCCUUAGACCCACCGCUACUGGAAGGUAACUCACCUCAAAGUAGCUGCUGAACUGAUCGGGAACUAACUGACUGCUGCUGCUCCGGGAGUCCUCCGGCUGCAAUUUCCACGACAUACUCAAUCAAACACUGCUAACUGUCCUUUAGGUAAAAUGACCAUUUUACCCCUGGAUUAACUCUAAGCCAAAGCUGGAGUCAACUUUCAGUUGACCCGACUCGCCGAGUGGAUCACCACUCGCCGAGUCCCUAGCAAACCAAUGUCCUGGGUCCCUGGUUCUACUCGUCGAGUCGGGCUAUGACUCGACGAGUUCACCUUCUAACUGCCAUUCAACACCUUCAUCCUACUCGCCGAGUUGUAUGAACAACUCGUCGAGUUCAUCUUCAUCCGAUGAACACUUUAUGCUAAGACUCGCCGAGUUGUAUGAACAACUCGCCGAGUCUGUUCUUGAGCUAUGAAGAUUGCCUUGGACUCGCCGAGUCAGGGCAUUGACUCGCCGAGUCCUAACAUGGGUGAGUUCAGCUCCCAACUCACCGAGUCACCCCCUGUGACUCAAGGCUCAACUCGACACAUGAAGAAGGGACCAAUUCGGUGACUCGCGACCAGACUCGCCGAGUCACCUAUGCGACUCGCCGAGUCGUCGCCAUGCACUCCUUAAAUAUACCGAUUUGCUCGGUUCCAGACCAUGCCAUUCAUAGAUCUGGACUUCUAGGACACGAAUCACACGUAAAGUUUCCAACUUUACGUGUGGAUAUUCACCAAUAUGGAUUAUAAGGCUCAAAAUGUCUCAAAAUGGUAGAUCUAGGGCUAACAAUCCUCAUGAGGCCAAAAAGCUAACAGAUCUGAGCUCCUGGAGCUCAAUCUUACAUAGAUCCAAAGGCCAAACGCCUUAUUACAACAUAUAAUGGACAUGCAAACUUGGGGAAUUGACCAAGAAGGACCCAAAUGAAGUUUUAAGCAUAGAAUCAAGGGGAAAACGGGUUAUACCUCAAAGGAAAUGUUGAAAUGACACAAGGAUGGCUGAUCUCCUUCUCCUCUUCUUGAUCUACUCCUCUAACUCUUCAAAACCUUCAAGAACACACCAAGAACACCUCAAACUCUCAAGAAAACAAGGGAAAACGAUGUAGGGGCAGUUCUGGGGGUGAAUGGGGACGAGUUGGGGCGGAAUGAGAGUUUAAAUAGGGUGCAAACCCUUGAAACUUAGGGUUUCAUCCCGCAGCGGUGACUCGCCGAGUCCAGGAUAUGGACUCGUCGAGUCGCCUACUUAAAACGCGUCCUGAGUCUCGUCCCUACUCGGCGAGUCGGACCCUGUGACUCGCCGAGUCUAAGGCUAAAUUAGGGCAAUGCUCAAAUAAAAUUCACAUACCGGAAACCAGGUGCUACACCUCCUUUCAAGCUUCAAACACACAAUGGGCACACACACGUAUUAGGGUUCUCAAGGACACUUUAGAAUUGUAAAGAGGCCCAAGGGAGACUAAGGUUCCUUUAAUUAGGGUGCAAAACCCCAGGAUUUAGGGUUUCAUCUGCCAGAUCCUACUCGCCUAGUCCCAAUAUGGACUCGUCGAGUAGGUCACUUAACUCGCGAUCCCACCCCGCUGCUACUCGACGAGUAGGGCAACCAACUCAUUGAGUAGGGCCUAACCCAAGAAAUCUUAUUUAAAACAAUACCUGAGAAUCGGGGCGUUACACUAAUCCGAUAGAGUGAACAAGGAAAUGCCAGUCUUCUAAAAGGCACGCCAUGGCGUGAGGCGCGACGUCUCCGUUACGAAAAGCCUCAUAACGUUGCUGUUAGGCGUGGCGCGUGGCAAGGCGUGAUAUGGCGUGCCAUGGCGUGUAAUGGCGUGUGUCUUUUCAUUUGAGACACGUUUUUUUGCUCUUUUUUAUGUCUUUUCUAAUCGGACAUACAAGUAUUGUAUUUUUUGUUAACUUUUUGUUAUUAGUUGUUCAUAUAACGCUUCUAAAAACUAGUUAUAUUUGAUAUAAAUCUAUAUUUAUGCGGUAAUAUAAUUAUAAAUUAAUAUAAAAUCGCCGCCUUACAUCACG